UACAGAGACUGCAAGCGUUAUUCGGAUUCACUGGGCGUAAAGGGUGCGCAGGCGGCCGUGUGUGUGAGGCGUGAAAGCCCGGGGCUUAACCCCGGAAUUGCACCUCAAACUACACGGCUAGAGCAUUGGAGAGGGUAGCAGAAUUCAUGGUGUAGCAGUGAAAUGCGUAGAUAUCAUGAGGAAUACCAGAGGCGAAGGCGGCUACCUGGACAAUUGCUGACGCUCAGGCACGAAAGCGUGGGGAGCAAAAGGG
rnacentral:rRNA from 1 species